rnacentral:tRNA from 1 species
GGAUAGAUCGUUUAAUGGCAAGACCAUACCGAACCGAUGUCUGCGCCUUAGUCGGUAAGGUAUCAUAGGGGUUCGAAUCCUCUUCUAUCCGCCA